UACGGGGGGAGCAAGCGUUGUUCGGAAUUACUGGGCGUAAAGCGUGUGUAGGCGGUCCGAUAAGUCGGGUGUGAAAGCCCUGGGCUCAACCCAGGAAGUGCACUCGAUACUGUCGGGCUAGAGUAUCGGAGAGGUUGGUGGAAUUCUCGGUGUAGAGGUGAAAUUCGUAGAUAUCGAGAGGAACACCGGCGGCGAAGGCGGCCAACUGGACGAAUACUGACGCUGAGACACGAAAGCGUGGGGAGCAAACAGG
rnacentral:rRNA from 1 species